AGCUUGCUUCUCUUGAGAGCGGCGGACGGGUGAGUAAUGCCUAGGAAUCUGCCUGGUAGUGGGGGAUAACGCUCGGAAACGGACGCUAAUACCGCAUACGUCCUACGGGAGAAAGCAGGGGACCUUCGGGCCUUGCGCUAUCAGAUGAGCCUAGGUCGGAUUAGCUAGUUGGUGGGGUAAUGGCUCACCAAGGCGACGAUCCGUAACUGGUCUGAGAGGAUGAUCAGUCACACUGGAACUGAGACACGGUCCAGACUCCUACGGGAGGCAGCAGUGGGGAAUAUUGGACAAUGGGCGAAAGCCUGAUCCAGCCAUGCCGCGUGUGUGAAGAAGGUCUUCGGAUUGUAAAGCACUUUAAGUUGGGAGGAAGGGCAGUAACCUAAUACGUUGCUGUCUUGACGUUACCGACAGAAUAAGCACCGGCUAACUCUGUGCCAGCAGCCGCGGUAAUACAGAGGGUGCAAGCGUUAAUCGGAAUUACUGGGCGUAAAGCGCGCGUAGGUGGUUUGUUAAGUUGGAUGUGAAAUCCCCGGGCUCAACCUGGGAACUGCAUUCAAAACUGACAAGCUA
rnacentral:rRNA from 2 species